CUGCCAUAUCACGUUGAAACACCGGUUCCCGAACGAUCACCGAUGUUAAGCAAUGUCAAUCCAGGUUAGUAUCUAGAUGGGUGACCGCUUGGAAACACCAGGUGCUGUAAG